rnacentral:rRNA from 1 species
AACGAACGCUGGCGGCAUGCCUAACACAUGCAAGUCGAACGAGACCGUCGGGUCUAGUUGCGCUCGGGUGCUUACCGCCUGGGAACCUGCACUUAAGUUCGGAAUCCCUGCCCUAAAGGGAUCCUAAUACCGGAUAAUGUCAUCCGACCUAAGAUUUCUUGCCUUUGGAUGGGCCCGCGUUGGAUUAGCUGGUUGGUAGGGUAAUAGCAUACCAAGGCGUCGAUGCAUAGCUGGUCUGAGAGGAGGAUCAGCUACGCUGGGACUGAGACACGGCCCAGACUCGUACGGGAGGCAGCAGUGGGGAAUACUGGAGGAGGGGGCAAAGCCUGAUCCAGCAACGCCGCGUGAGUGAGGCAGGCGGUAGUGUUGUAAAGCUCUCUUACCCGGGAUGAUAAUGACAGUACCGGGAGAAUAAGCACCGGCUAACUCCGUG